rnacentral:rRNA from 1 species
ACUCCUACGGGAGGCAGCAGUGGGGAAUAUUGCACAAUGGGGGAAACCCUGAUGCAGCCAUGCCGCGUGUGUGAAGAAGNCUCGGGCUUGGUUAAGACACCUUUUCAGUAGGGGAGGAAGGUAGUGUAGUUAACACCUGCAUUAUUUGACGUUACCUACAGAAGAAGCACCGGCUAACUCCGUGCCAGCAGCCGCGGUAAUACGGAGGGUGCGAGCGUUAAUCGGAAUUACUGGGCGUAAAGCGCAUGCAGGCGGCCUGUUAAGUCAGAUGUGAAAGCCCGGGCUU